CCAUUCCCUUUGGGUGUCCUGAAGGCACAGUGCAUGCUUGUGGACUGAAUGGAAGGGAGGAAGCCUGUGUCUUAAGGUCCCUUGACAAGGUUGGGAAGAUUGCCUCUGUCCUGAUGCCGUUUUUCAGACCUACGGGUUGACCAUUCCAAAGAUGCCCUUCAGGGCUGAUUGUAGUUGGUUUUCUGCCAGUUAUGAUGGGACGUCCCCCAUAACCUGGCAAGGAAGAUGGUUGGCUCUUCUGAGGCACAAAGGCCUGGAGUCCUGGUGUUGGUAUGACCUGGCCUCCACGGUGCACCCCUGCUGUUGGAUGGCUCAGGACCGGGCAGUUGCCUUGAGAGGCCUGCUGCAUGCUGCCACAACAGAUGGUCGAUUCUUACAAGCAACGGAGUCCCCAUGGAGUCGUGGAGUCAGUGUGGCCUGGCAUCCAUCGUGCACCUUGUGGUGGCAGGUGGCUCAGGACGGUAAGGAUUCCUCUGCCUCUAGUUCUGAGGGUGGGUAUCUUUCUGAUUUCCAAGGCAGGCAUUGCCCAGCCUGUGGUGUUAGAUGUCCUGUGUCUUCACAUGUGCUUGGAUCGAUGAUGAGUCCCACAAAAAAAACAUUCCUUGGAAAAGCUGAACAAAAUGAGUGAAAACUCAUACUGGCACUGUCAUCGGAACUGAGGUCCAGCACAUUGCCUCCCCCGGGGCCUGUAGGAGUGAGGGACAGCUUCCACUGAUUCCCAUCGGUUCCACCACCCAGGGCUUCCAC
rnacentral:lncRNA from 13 species